GUAAGGUUAGCGGCUAAACUCCGGUGUCAGCAGGGAGCGCAGCGCUAACGCUAGCAACCCCAGCCUGCGGGUUCCCGUGGAGACAGGCCACGGUUACCCGAUUUAGAGAAACUACAAGUACACGGCCCAAGAUUACUCUCGAGCCAGGAGUAGCAACUGUAAUCCCUCCACAGGUGGAUAUGGGAAUUCUGUAACCUUAAAUUCAAGGUGAUGCUUCCACAGGGUACUCAGGAGAUUAUCCCUAUAUCACCUGGAAACAAGGCUUGCUAGAAGUCUCGGAGCCCAUAUAAGUAUGUGGGUCAAUGUACUGGCUGGUUUUGUGUGUCAACUGGACACAAGCUGGAGUUAUCACAGAGAAAGGAGCCUCCAUUGAAGAAAUGCAUUCCUGAGACCCAGCUGUAAGGCAUUUUCUCAAUUAGUGAUCAAGGGGAGAGGACCCAGCCCACCUGUGGGUGGUGCCAUCUCUGGGCUAGUGGUCUUGGGUUCUAUAAGAAAGCAGGCUGAGCAAGCCAGGGGGAGCAAGCCAGUAAGUAACAUCCCUCCACGGCCUCUGCAUCAGCUCCUGCUUCCUGACCUGCUUGAGUUCCUGUCCUGACUCUCUUUGGUGAUGAACAGCCAUGUGGAAGUGUAAGCUGAAU
ensembl:lncRNA